rnacentral:rRNA from 1 species
GAUGAACGCUGGCGGCGUGCCUAAUACAUGCAAGUCGAGCGAACAGACGAGGAGCUUGCUCCUCUGACGUUAGCGGCGGACGGGUGAGUAACACGUGGAUAACCUACCUAUAAGACUGGGAUAACUUCGGGAAACCGGAGCUAAUACCGGAUAAUAUAUUGAACCGCAUGGUUCAAUAGUGAAAGACGGUUUUGCUGUCACUUAUAGAUGGAUCCGCGCCGCAUUAGCUAGUUGGUAAGGUAACGGCUUACCAAGGCAACGAUGCGUAGCCGACCUGAGAGGGUGAUCGGCCACACUGGAACUGAGACACGGUCCAGACUCCUACAGGAGGCAGCAGUAGGGAAUCUUCCGCAAUGGGCGAAAGCCUGACGGAGCAACGUCGCGUGAGUGAUGAAGGUCUUCGGAUCGUAAAACUCUGUUAUUAGGGAAGAACAAAUGUGUAAGUAACUAUGCACGUCUUGACGGUACCUAAUCAGAAAGCCACGGCUAACUACGUG